UGUAGGUACAGUCAUGUUUUAUGUAGUAGUGAUGGAAGUGUAGGUACAGUCAUGUUUUAUGUAGUAGUGAUGGAAGUAUAUGUACAGUCAUAUUUUAUGUAGUAGUGAUGGUAGUGUAGGUACAGUCAUGUUUUAUGUAGUAGUGAUGGAAGUGUAGGUACAGUCAUGUUUUAUGUUGUAGUGAUGGAAGUGUAGGUACAGUCAUAUUUUAUGUAGUAGUGAUGGUAGUGUAGGUACAGUCAUGUUUUAUGUAGUAGUGAUGGUAGUGUAGGUACAGUCAUGUUUUAUGUUGUAGUGAUGGAAGUGUAGGUACAGUCAUAUUUUAUGUAGUAGUGAUGGUAGUGUAGGUACAGUCAUGUUUUAUGUUGUAGUGAUGGAAGUGUAGGUACAGUCAUAUUUUAUGUAGUAGUGAUGGUAGUGUAGGUACAGUCAUAUUUUAUGUAGUAGUGAUGGUAGUGUAGGUACAGUCAUGUUUUAUGUAGUAGUGAUGGUAGUGUAGGUACAGUCAUGUUUUAUGUAGUAGUGAUGGAAGUGUAGGUACAGUCAUAUUUUAUGUAGUAGUGAUGGAAGUAUAUGUACAGUCAUGUUUUAUGUAGUAGUGAUGGUAGUGUAGGUACAGUCAUGUUUUAUGUAGUAGUGAUGGAAGUGUAGG
ensembl:lncRNA